rnacentral:rRNA from 1 species
UUAAAUGGCCGCGGUAUUUUGACCGUGCUAAGGUAGCAUAAUCAUUAGUUUUUUAAUUGAAAGCUAGAAUGAAAGGUUGGAUGAAAAAGUAGCUGUCUCUAAUUAAUUAUUAUUGAAUUUUAUUUUUAAGUUAAAAAGCUUAAAUAGUUUUAAAAGACGAGAAGACCCUAUAGAGUUUAAUAAAAAUUAUUAUAAAUUAAAUUUGGUAUUUAUCAUUAUUUAUACUAAUUUUAUUUGAUUGGGGUGAUUAAAAAAUUUAAUAAACUUUUUUUUAUUAUAAUAUAAAUUUAUAAAUUUUUGAUCCAAUUAUAUUGAUUAAAAGUAAAAAUUACCUUAGGGAUAACAGCGUAAUUUUAUUUGAGAGUU